ensembl:lncRNA
CGGGAGCCCCGGCCGCCGGCGCUUGACGCACGCGGAGCCGCGGAGGCCGCGACCCCGGCCUCCUGGAACCCGAGAGCGGCUAGCAAGACGAGCCGGGUCAGGUCCCCGGGGGAGGCCGGGCGCCACCCGACCCGCAGGAACGCGGGUGGCUGUAAGGGAGGGACCGGGGAUGCGGGCACAUCCUUCCGUUGCCGCUCUGCCUCUGCACCCCCUGGCGUGGCGCCGGCCGGUCCCAUUUCAUCCUCCCCACGAACCUCCAAAGCGGUGCUACCAUGAGCCACGUUCACAAACGAAAUCCUCCAGCCUCACGGAAGAUAUGAACUUGCCCAAGCCGCCUCGGCUGGGAAGGUGGAGUGAAGCGACUUGAAUACAGGACUUUUCUUCUUCUUUUACUUUAUUUCGCGCGGCUCCCGAUUCCUAGGGCGCCAAGGAAGGUAAUUCGCGCCGCUUCGCGCCGGCUGUCGCGAUGCUUCCCGGAGCAGUCCAGGGUGCGCCUUCUGGGGAGCGCUGGGGCGGAGGCAUCGGCUGCGCUGAGUGAUGCAGAACUAAAGUGGAAAUGACCCAGUGAGGAAGGAAAGUGAGCACUGCCUGCCCUGGCCACACAAUUAAAACAUAUACGCCGGCCAAAGGUGCUGAAGGAACAGCAAUGAAAUGGAAAGACAAGGUCUCUGUCCUAGUAACAGACGAUGCUGGAAGGAGGAAGCAAGGCUGGAAUUUGGACUUGGGAUUUUAUCCGAAAAGCAAUGUAAAAUACUUAAAGGUUUUGGACAGUUUUUCCAGUCUCCAGCACCAGCUGGCCCCUGCAUGUAAGGAGGUUACUAACUCAAGCAACACUGCUGGUGGACCCAUCGUUUGGCCCAGAUCAUAGAAGGAUUCUCAACUAACUCUGUUCAGUACCAUCUUGUUUGGAGGGAGACAUGUUCCUCAUCAUGCCCACAUCCUCACACAGACUGUAGAGGUCUCAAUGAAUUUCUCUCAGAGUCUCCAGACUGCCUUGGCUGACGACUUGUUCCUCUUGGGACAGAUUUCGCCGGAGCUGAGCAGCCUGGCCCCCAGCUGUGCGGGGCCCUCUCUCCGACGGUGGUGCUACAUUUGCCUGGUCGUGGAGGAAACAUUUCCAGCUGGUGUCUGCUGGCUCCUUCAUCAAAGCUGCUUCUGAACCUCUCAUAGUGCUCCUCCCAACAUGCAAAGCCUUUGGGUGGUUAGGAGUUUUCUCCACCAAAUUGUCAGAGUCCUGAUGACAGUACUUCAAGACAGAAGCUGACUCACCCAGGUACACAAAGUCAUGAUGGACAGCUCCAGUCUCCAUGGGCUAACUUUUAUUUUCAACUCCUCUAAUUAUUUUGUGUGUGUUUUAAGAGAAUUAGAAACAAUCAUAGCCACUUAUAUUAAGUGUUUACCAUGUGCCAGAUGCUUUAUAUGUAUUACUCUAUGUAAUUCUUGGCCCGAGACAGGCACCGUGCUGCUUCCUGGGUUAACUGAGGCUCAGAGAGGCUGUGCAGCUUGUGAGAGGAUACAGGACUAGAAAGUCAAAGAGUCAGCAUUUGAACUCAGUUCUGUUUAAUUCACUAAUGGGUUCCUUCAAUCAGUAUCCUGGACUGGCUCCAGGGGCCAAAGAUAGGUUUAUUUCUGCAACAGAGAAAAAUUGGUAAGAAAUCCCAUGCUGAGCUAAACCUUUACCUAAUAUAACUCAAUGGUCUGCCUCUGGUGUUGACCAGCAGAAACAUUAGACAGGCAAAGUUAGGAUAUCAUAUUAAAAAAGUUGAGCACCUCCCUAAGUAUCUCCUAAUCUCUCACUGAUAUAUGCUAAAUCCAUUAAUAUUUUCAAUCUAUAUCAGUCUUUUGGAUACUAGUUUCUAUGUUUAUUAUUUUCUACAUUUACUAUAUUUUGGGGUACUCAAUUGCUUUUAAAUUUCAAGGGACACUCACAUACUCUGUUAUUCCUAGAUUUAUUGGCUCAUAGAAAUCAAGACCAAAAGGAAAAAAAUCUCAACAGGCUGAAAUGAUAGAAUGAAAAUGUGUGAGAACAAACGACAAGUCAUGAACUGAGGUUCAGUUACUCAGCUAACUGACUGCAGGAUGGGGAACAAAGAUGGAUGUUGUUAUUUCAUGGUUAGCCGUGGAUAAGGUGAUCUUAGGCUGCCCGAAUAGAAACACAGAGUCUAGGACAAAGCGGAGGACAGCUCUAGUUUAGUCUACACUGUAUAUAUAUUAAGUCAUAUUCUAGCCACACAGCUUUAAUAGUGACAAAGGCAUUUGGGUGUUAAAUUAAAAAAAAAAAGUGAGAAAACCACAUUUCAUAAAGAGAUCUGAGGUGUGUAUUGAGGGAAAAGUGGAAGAGGGCAGGAUUAAGUGUCUUGAAACAUUUGAAGCCAGGGAACAGCUUCAGAGGGAAAAACUGGAACCAAGUGGAAAGAAAUUUCAAGGGGCUGAUUUUGGUUCAGUAUAUGGGAUAAUUUUUCUACCCAAACUUCCAAAACAGAAUGUGCUGCCUUAAAUGGUGAUAAGCUUUCCAUCCUCGGGAUAUGCAAAAAGAGGCUGGAUGACCACUUGUGAGAGAUGCUUCGGAGGAAAUUCUGAAAUUGGAAGUGGGCAAGGGCAAUUUCGUGACCUCUAGGCUUCCUUCCACUUAUAAGAUUCCCCAUUUAAUAUCUCUCAUCCUUUAUUCACCAUCUGGGCAAUCCCUAAAACAUCCAGUAAUCUCUCAAAGCUUCAAUUUUCCCUUCAGUAAAAGGAUUACAUGAAACCUGUUAAAUCACAAGUUUACUAUGAAAAUGCUAGUUGUAUUUUACUAGGAUUCAUAAUUAUAUUUUAAAAAAAUUUCAUGAAUCACAUAAAAAUCACCUUGCUUAAACCCCUGACGCAUCUUUGGAGGUCCUGGAGUAGCUGAUUUCUAUGGUCCUUUUGGUUCUAAGAUCCUACAGUUCUGUGGUUUUGCAGAGACCUUAAAGGUCAUGACACACAGGGGAAAGAAAGCUCCUUGGAAAAGAUAAGACUACUAAAAAGAGGUGCUUGUUUGAGUUUCCUCACAUUCUCUAUGUCACUUAGGAAAUUUUGUUGUUGUUGCAAAUGAAGGGAAAGCCCUCCAGAAUGACUCCAAAAUGAAAGCAAAAUGUUAUAACCAGGAUCCAUCUCUUAGCUCUGCUUCUAGCUUCCCAUGCUGGGUCCCCUUGUGGCAGCAAAAAUGGUGACAUCCCUGAGUUAGGCUAGUGAGGAAGAGAGAUGGAGUUCUAGCAGUCCUAGCAACAAUUGGAGGCUCACUCUGGUAUGGAUUUCCAUGCCCAUUCCUGAACCAAUGACUGUGGCUGAGAUGGAAUGGGAAGGCGGGCAUCAAUCCCAACCAGCCCUACAGCUGAGGAUAUGGGGAAGCGGCUCUCAGAAGAAAUGUGGAGAACCAGCCAAGACUCAGCAACGUUGCCUGGUCCAGCCUUUGGCUGCCUGACAGCAACCCACAGCUUCCACACACUCAGGGCACGAUACUUCUCUACAGGGACAUCAUGUGAAACUUCAUUACUAAAGCUAGAUCCAAGUUCAAUAUUUCAUGUCAGUGUGCAAAUCUUGUCAAGUGAUUCUUCUUUGUUCAGUGAUCUGUGGGUAAAUGAGAAGUUAAGCCACACCCAGAAAAAUUCCAAAUUGCAAAGGACAUCCAGUGGCUACCAGCCCUCACACAUACUACAAUCUUUUUGGACAAAAGUGGCAAAGACUCCCUAUUUUGCAGUGAAGUGGUGGUCUGGGGCUGCCUCAGUUUCACUUUCUAAGAGGAUCCUCUUGUCUCCUGUUUCUGUGAGAGAGCCUUUUCAUAGGACAGCACAGCUUUAAAUACCAUUUCUCUCUGGUAUAAAUGGGAGUGCAUCUGUGCUCGGGGAAGGGGUUCCAAGGACAGUUUUCAGACUGGUUCCCAUCUAUGUGUUUCUGGUUGUGAUGGUUAAUUUUAUGUAUCAACUUGACUGGGUCAGGGGGUACCCAGAUAUUUGGUAAAACAUUAUUCUGGAUGUUUCUGUAAGGAUAUUUUGGAAAGAGAUUAACAUUUAAAUCAGAAGAGGCAGUAAAGCAG